UAGAUAGGCUCGCCAACACUUUGUGAGGAAGGCCACCAAGCAAAACAGGACGGGCUCUAGAAGAGGGGCCCGGAGAGGGAACGGAAACCCGGACCCAGGCCCUAUGGGGCGCAGCAGGCGAGAACCUUUGCAAUGUGCGAAAGCACGACAAGGUUAAUCCGAGUGUCUCCUGCUAAAGGAGUCUUUUGUCAGUUGUAGAAUCACUGGUGAAUAAGGGGUGGGCAAGUUCUGGUGUCAGCCGCCGCGGUAAAACCAGCACCUCGAGUGGUCAGGAGGUUUAUUGGGCCUAAAGCAUCCGUAGCCGGUUGCAUAAGUUUUCGGUUAAAUCUAUGCGCUUAACGUAUAGGCCGCCGAAAAUACUGUGCAGCUAGGGAGUGGGAGAGGUACACGGUACUCGAUAGGAAGGGGUAAAAUCCUUUGAUCUAUUGAAGACCACCUGUGGCGAAGGCGGUGUACCAGAACACGUUCGACGGUGAGGGAUGAAAGCUGGGGGAGCAAACCGGAUUAGAUACCCGGGUAGUCCCAGCUGUAAACGAUGCAGACUCGGUGAUGCAUUGGCUUGUGGCCAAUGCAGUGCCGCAGGGAAGCCGUUAAGUCUGCCGCCUGGGAAGUACGUACGCAAGUAUGAAACUUAAAGGAAUUGGCGGGGGAGCACCACAAGGGGUGAAGCCUGCGGUUCAAUUGGAGUCAACGCCGA
rnacentral:rRNA from 1 species